rnacentral:misc_RNA from 1 species
AACGCACCUUGCGCUCCUUGGUAUUCCGAGGAGCAUGCCUGUUUGAGUGUCAUUAAAUUCUCAACCUUUCUAGCUUUUGCUAGUUAGGCUUGGAUGUGGGGGUUGCGGGCUUCUCAGAAGUCGGCUCUCCUUAAAUGCAUUAGCGGAACCUUUGUGGACCAGCUUUGGUGUGAUAAUUAUCUACGCCACGGCCGUGAAGCAGCUAUACAUGGGGUUCAGCUUCUAACCGUCCAUUGACUUGGACAAUUUCUGACAUUUUGACCUCAAAUCAGGUAGGACUACCCGCUGAACUUAA